rnacentral:rRNA from 1 species
CAUAGCGACUAUCGUGGCAUAUCAAUAAGCGGAGGGAAAAGAAACUAACAAGGAUUCCCUUAGUAACGGCGAGUGAAGCGGGAAGAGCUCAAAUUUGAAAUCUUCAAGGUUUUACCUUGACGAAUUGUAGUUUAAAGAAGUGUUUUCUGUUGAAGUUUUGGUAAAAGUUCUUUGGAAUAGGACAUCAUAGAGGGUGAGAAUCCCGUAUUUGACCAUUAUUUUCAGCUGUGUGAUACACUUUCAAAGAGUCGGAUUGUUUGGGAAUGCAGUCCAAAAUGGGUGGUAAAUUUCAUCUAAAGCUAAAUAUCGGCGAGAGACCGAUAGCGAACAAGUACCGUGAGGGAAAGAUGAAAAGAACUUUGAAAAGAGAGUUAAACAGUACGUGAAAUUGUCAAAAGGGAAGCGUUUGACACCAGUGUUGUUUCCUCGAAAAUCAAUUAAAAAAGGCCGGAUUUUGUGUUGUAUUGACCUUAAAAGCUUUCUUCACUCUUUUCUUGUCUUUUUUAAUGCACUUUUCGUUUAACAAGUCAACAUCAGUUUCUUUUGUUGUAAAAGGGUCAUUGGAAGGUGGCUUUCUUUUCGGAGAAAGUGUUUAUAGCCUUUGAUCUCUGCAACCGGAGAGACUGAGGUCUGCAGCGUAGACUCUUCGGGGUUAGAUACAUUUGUGCUAAGCUAUAGCUUUUUAUAGACAACUUGUUGACUAUAUUUAGUCUUGUGGCUUACUCGCUUAUGCUAUUUUACCUACGCUUAGGAUGUUGAUAGUCACAGCGUGUAC